GGCAAGGAGAGGACCGUGCAUCCUCAGUGACAGUGGUGCCUCACCAUGCUUUAGAGAAGCCUGUCCUUGCCCCCGAGCUGCUCUCCAUGGAGUCCUGUUUGCGCACCGGAGGUCCCUGUGAAGGAGCGUCCAUCAGGUCUGGACGUGCACCUGACCUCGCUGACUGAGAACGUGGUGACUAAGAGUCUCCUCAGGCUGGGUGAGUCCUCGUCCUAAUAGGCCCUGACUGCCUGGCGCUGCCUACCUCUCCUGCCUCAGCAGGAGCUGCCCACACCUGUCCUCAGCCAACCAAGCUCCUAACCGUCGGGGAUCCUGGGACUCGGGCCUGCCUUUGCUGGACACUUCCGUCAGAUUUCUACCUGGCCACGUUCCACUCUUUCUUAAGGAUUCUGCUUAAAAGUCACGUCCUCUAAGGCUCCUCGCUGGCCUUCCCCACCACAUUGAUGUCCAGGUAAGGAGCUCGGGGGUUUAAGGAGCAGAUGGAGCUGUGGGGCUGGGCACAGAUGUUGAGGCAGGGGUGGGGGCAGGAGCCAGGGAGUGUCAGGCUUUGACCCAGAAAGGAAGGGAGCCAUUGGAGGGAGCGUGUGGCCUGGUGACUGUGGUCGGGAGACGUCUCUUCCUUAGGCGAUAGUUGCUGUGGGCAUGUGAGGAGUGGCUGGGAGCUGCUGCAUGGCCGGGCUGUGUAUGCCCUGCAUGGCCACAAGGGGGGCAGGUGCUCCUGCAGUGGAGCUGCUUGCAGUUCCUGUCCCUGCCGUGUCACAUGGGCCUCUGCAGAGUGUGAGAGGGUCCCUUGCAACUCUGUGUGAUUUUGUAGUGUCUUCCCCAGGAACACCCUCCCAGUCACAUAAACCUCAGGCCCACAAGGCCUGGGCGCCUCUCCUGCUUCCCUAUGCCAUGUGCCCCGGGGACGAGGGCCCCACCUGCCAGCUUGUGGACUUCAAUUCCCAUCAGUGCUCACCCUACUGCAGCCCAUUCUCACUGCAAAUGCUCUUUGUUUUAUUUAUUUAUUUAUUUAUUUAUUUAUUUAUUUAUUUAUUUAUUUUUGAUAAUUGGGAAAACUUUUAACUGUGAUUCAUUACAUUAAUACCCAAUAGAUGCAUCUGGCAAAAUAAUUAAAUGAUAAAAAUCACAAUAAUUUUAAUUUUAAAAUCAAAAUAAUUUAAAUCAGCUUAGUAAAACCUUUCUCACCUUCCACCUAUGCAUUUCAUCAGUGAGAAAAAUCUUGAUCUAGUGAAGUUGGGGCAGGGGCAAUGUAUAAGCCCUCUUACCUCCCCAGGACACAGCAUAAGUCUGGAAUAGACAGUUCAGGAAGCAGUCUCUUAAACUGCAUCGUGAUGAUGAAGUCCUAUAUUAAGUAAGAUCCCAAAGAUGGUUAAUAGCAGGCAGGCUAAGAGCUGUAACCUCUAGUCUUUUCCUUAUGAAAUAUUGCUUCCAGUUUAAUUGAUUUUAUUUAGAUGGGUUUACACUUAAACACAGAUAUUCAGGCAGCACUUGUAUUUCCCUAGGGACUCUGUUUAUAAACAUUCAGAGAUAGUUAUGGAUAAAGUUAGAAUAUCUUUCCCUCUUUUGCUUAAUAUUUAUUAAGGACUUACUAUGUGUUAUAUUCUGUGCUAUGUGUUUUACAUAAAAUACAUCAUCACAAUGACCUUCUUUUGCAGAUGAAGAAACAAAAGUUCUGAGAGGUCUUCAGGAACUUGUAUAUAAUUACAGAGGUAAUAAGGAUUGGUUGGAAAUGAAACCAAGGGCUACCUCCUGUCCCCAAAGCUCAUGCUCUUAACCCCUUCACCAUGAGUUUCUGGUUCUAUUCCUAGACUCUAGGCAUCAUAUACUCCUGUUAAUACUUUCUGUCUUCAAGCAAGUCCAUUUACAUUUAUAUUAUAAAAGGUUAAAUUGUUCAUGAAUAUAGCUUCUAGAUUCAGACCACCUGGAUUCAAAUUUAGACUCCACAUAUACUGGCUGUGAGAUAUUGCCCAGUGUGCAUAAUCUUGCCAAGGCCUCAAUUUCUUCACUUAUAGUAUAGGGAAGACAGUAUGGCCUACCUAGUGACAAUGGAUGGUUGUGAGGAUUAAACGAGAUAAAUCAUGUAAAGCAUUUGCCUGACUCUUAUUAAGUGUUCAAUAAUACUCUCAUAGAGUGUAAACUCCUUUGAAAUUAGGCAUAAGACUUUAGGUAUAUAAAGAGCCUGAACAGAGAUGUACUUGAAUUCACGUCUUUAUAAAACACAAAAAUUAUUGCAACAAUCUUCAAAUAGUCUUCAAGCCUUCUCCACACAUUGUUGUAAUCUAUGUAAAGGAAAAUAAAAAAAUCUCAGCCAGGAGCGGUGGCUGAAGCCUGUAAUCCCAGCACUUUGGGAGGCCAAGGUGGGCGGAUCACCUGAGGUCAGGAGUUCGAGACCAGUCUGGGCAACAUGGUGAAACCCCGUCUCUACUAAAAAUUCAAAAAAUUAGCCAGACAUGGUGGCAUACACCUAUAAUCCCAGCUACUCUGAAGGCUGAGACAGGAGAAUCACUUGAACCCGGG
rnacentral:lncRNA from 1 species